rnacentral:tRNA from 1 species
UACAUUUUAGUGUAUGUUGCACAUAAAUUUUUGGUAUUUGUAGAUAAUAGUUAAAUUCUAUUGAAUGUAA